rnacentral:RNase_P_RNA from 1 species
AGAGCCGAUCGGGCGGUCGCGGCGGGUUGGUUUCGAUCCGCUGAGGAACGUCCGGACUCCACAGGGCAGGGUGGUGGGUAACGCCCACCCGGGGUGACCCGCGGGACAGUGCCACAGAAAGCAAACCGCCGGGUGUCUCGGAGUUCUCCGGGACACCCGGUAAGGGUGAAACGGUGGUGUAAGAGACCACCAGCGUCCGGGGUGACUCGGACGGCUCGGUAAACCCCACCCGGAGCAAGGUCAAGAAGGGGCGUCGCCAGACGCUCUGCGCGGAUGUUCGAGGGCGGCCCGCCCGAGUCCGCGGGUAGACCGCAUUGAGGUCGUCGGUGACGGCGGCCCCAGAUGGAUGACCGCCUCCGCGCGGGCCGCAAGGCCCGCGCGAGACAGAAUCCGGCGUACAGAUCGACUCUUCCG